UAGACUUCAGACAGCACAGUAUCCUAACAUGCAUCUCUGGCCACUCGGACCACACCCGGAUCAAUAUGACAAUGCUCAUGCGAUGUGAAGCGAGGAAGUAGCCAAAAGACAGAUUAGUUAGCUUUUUUUGUACACUGGCAAGCAUUGUUAAUUGGUAGAUAAUUAGUUAAAUGGGGUAACUGAAAUGUUUAGUCAAAAUGUUUUGUACAUAAACCAACAGCAACAAACUACCAGAUCGCCUCAAGGUAAGUCUGUUGGCUGUAUUUUGCAAUGAGACGACCACAAGAUCUUCAUCGUCGUUCAGCUCAAGGUGAGGUGCUGGUUACGUUACUUAGGGAUGGUUCGUACUGGAACGUUACGAUUCCAGUAUGACGGGGCUUGGGUUUUCUGUAGAGGUUGGUAGUUAGUUUUGUGCAGUCUGUGAAGCUCUAAUGCUGCAGUACUGUGUGGUGGAGGAUAACUGGCAGUACGAACAGGAUUGGCAAUUGCGUUACGUCAUCCACACCUUAUUAUGGCGUCUGGCAGUACGAUCAGGAUUGGCAAUUGCGUUAUGUCAUCCACACCUUAUUAUGGCGUCUGGCAGUACGAUCAAUAUUGGCAUUUGCGUAAACCUCAUAACUAAUGAGCGUACCCAAUUAAGGUAAUCUGGCAGUGCCCCAUUUCUAUAGGUAACCAUCUGCGAUUAUUGGUAAAUCCUUAUGCACUAGAAAUUAGGAAGGGCACUCUUAAAAUAUAUAUAUUUUUAAUUAUCCCACAAAAUACCGCAAACUACUUUGAUAACUGCGCUCUACAAUCAACUCUCGAUUUUCUGCGCAUACAUUUAUCGGGUCGCGUAAAAGAUGGAGACGACGGCAUUUACCUACUACGGCUUUUUAUUUCUUCAACAACCCAGCAGCUGAAUGUGGCUAAGUAUCAUUUUACUAUCUAAAUUACUAUUGAUAUUGCUAGUGUUCUAAAUAUCUGGGCUGUGAUCUGCUCAAUAUAGUUUCUGCUAGACUUCAGAAACAAAAGGAAGGGUUAAAUGUAAGUGUGCUUAUUCACGUAUUAUCAAAUGGUAUAGCUGUUUAGAAAAGUAAAGUUAAUUGUUGCGCAAAUGCUACCAUAAACCUUUGACUUUUGAAUAAAUCAAACUAAGCACAAGGCAACUAAGAUACGUGGUGACCAAGAACUCUUAUAUUGAUGUUCAGUUUAUUAUUGGUGAGGCAGUGAUGUAAAGCGCGUCGUGGUGUUUUUAAAUGGAUGAAUGUUGUGCUAACAGACGGGGGGAAACUCCAGGCCUUGCAGUCCUGAUCCUGUAUGAUGCAGAAGAUGUCAAUCCAACCGCACAUUGAUCUCUGCAGCGUGGUCGGUGGGAGGAGAUGUGGCCGAGCUGUUGAACCAGGCUCUAUCGGUACCCGAUGGCCUUGGCUGAUGGAGGAACUGCAUCUGGAGGACGACCAUCAAUCUACCUGCCAACAGGUGGUACUGGUUUGCACUGGUUUGCAUGAACUGAACAUGGUGGACAUGAGGCAAAUUCCCUGCUGUUUGCCCCAGACCAGGACUGGGUGAUGGAGGGGUGGUGAUGGAGCCGUGCUGA